AUCCCCUUAAGAUGUGAUUCUAAUACUCUAUUAAGUUUAAUACAGACUAGAGGGUGGUAGAUCCAUAUAUUCCAGUGGGAAGUAAUUUAGAACAUUGGAAGAACCAAUUAAUUAAACUCCAUUGAUUACUAACAAUCUUAAGUGAUAUAAUAUAACAAUCCAGAUAUAAGGAGCCUUUUUUGAGCUCCUAGAUCUUUCCUCUCUCCCUGACUGACGUGAAUGGUUAAUCCAGUGAUAAACUGCAGUAGAGUGUUAUCCACUGGACUUUUUUUCUUGUACACAUUUCUACAUAUAAAUCAGUCAUUUAUGCUGUGAGAAGAGGAAGCUUUUUUCCAAAUUGUUUCCAAGAUUUCCGAUUGGGUCUGGUUUGACCUUCUGUUGCUGAUACAGACCUUGCCUCACAAAGUAACAAGCCUCUAUCUCCAAGAGUUGACCCUCUGGAAAGAGAAGAUGAUGGGCAUUCACUUUACAUUUGUUUCCCGACACACCACUGCAGCCCCAAACUUUGAGUCCACCCAGCACAGACUUACAGGAGCCAACAAGACAAGCAGGAGCUGAUGCUGCCUCUAACUUACUGUCCUACAUGGCUUCAGUCCAUGAGCGGCAUAUUGUACUCUUAGACACAGGAAUGAAGCACUUGUCACAAAUUUGUUGUCAGUUGCGAAAAAGUGAAAGUACUCUUUCUCAAAUGAAUGCAAAUUUCAUGGUUUGAAAUGAAAAUGUUUAUACUCAAAAUCAAAAUGUCAGCCAGAUUAAGGGGUAUAUUCAAUUGAAGUUGAAAACUGCCUUCUGUCGAAAAGACGUCAGUUUUCGACUUUUUAAGGUCGAAUCCUGAUUCGAUCUAUUCAAUAUAUCCCUAAAUUUUUCGACAAGUCGAAUUCAUUGGAAUAGCUGCCAAUCCACAUGCUUGUGUCGAAAAUGGGGCAAUAACCAACAGGUUUUGGCCCCCUUUUCGACCAUCUCAGUCCGACAUCAAAAAGAUGUCGGACUGUGAUGCGGACCCAGAGGAG